AUUGAACGCUGGCGGCAUGCGUAACACAUGCAAGUCGAACGGCUUUUGGUGCUUGCACCAAAGGUAGUGGCGGACGGGUGAGUAAUGCGUAGGAAUCUGUCUUAGAGAGGGGGACAACCCGAGGAAACUUGGGCUAAAACCGCAUAUUCUCGAGAGAGGAAAGCAGGGGACCGGAAACGGCCUUGUGCUCUAAGGUGAGCCUACGUCGGAUUAGCUAGUUGGUAGGGUAAAAGCCUACCAAGGCGAUGAUCUGUAGCUGGUCUGAGAGGACGGACAGCCACACUGGGACUGAGACACGGCCCAGACUCCUACGGGAGGCAG
rnacentral:rRNA from 1 species